rnacentral:rRNA from 1 species
GGGCCGCACGCGCGCUACACUGACGGAGCCAGCGAGUACAACCUUGGCCGAGAGGUCUUGGUAAUCUUGUGAAACUCCGUCGUGCUGGGGAUAGAGCAUUGUAAUUAUUGCUCUUCAACGAGGAAUUCCUAGUAAGCGCAAGUCAUCAGCUUGCGUUGAUUACGUCCC